rnacentral:ncRNA from 1 species
UGGCGGGAGAGCUCGCCCGGGAAGCCGGGCGGCGCCGUAGGAGCAAGUCCCUCCCCGGGAAUCUCUCAGGCACCCGCACCGCCA